rnacentral:tRNA from 1 species
UAUAGCUCAACUGGUAGAGCACUAGUAUAGCAUGUGUGAGGCCCUGAGGCCCUGGGUUCAAAUCCCAGUA